GGGGAGGUGGUUAGUGGUUACAACUACCUCCGCGCUUUUCCCCUGCUCGUCUCCCGGGGAUCCCUAGCUCCUCAUUUGUGCGCUUCGUUCUUCCCCCUCCAUUUGUGACUACUUCCAAGCCCACGCGGUAGAAAUCGCCACCAUAGUGUUGAGGGACCGAGAGGAGAGAGAGAGAGAGCCCGCGGUCACCGCCGUCACCGCACCUGCAUUGUGCUUGGUUCGGGAGGCCGUUGGGGGAAGUCUUCGGGUGCUACGAAACCAUUUGGAGCGACGACGGACGUAUUGGGGGGGGGGGGGGGGGUCUCGGUGGCGAUCCUUCAUGGAGCUCUCGUCGCGUGGUGAACCUUCAAGUCGUCUUCGCCGGCCUCGUCCUUGCCUCUGCGUUGGUGAAGAGCAGGUAGCCCAGGAGGAGGACUACUAUGUGGAGUUUGAUGAAGUUUAGGCGGCGUCUCCCAGUUGACUUAAUGACAUCAAGGAAAUAAUAUUAGCUUGCUUUAUUUGUUAUCAUUUAUUUUUAAGACACUUCCGCUUUGUAAUAAUGUUUAUGACAUUUAUCUCUAAACACUUGGUCAUUAUAUGUGUUGUUCUUCUUUGGCGCACAUAUGAGACGCACCCGGGUUUACCCCUUAAAUCCGGGUGUGACAAUUGCAUAGGGGACAUGUAGGGAGUCUUUGACCUUUGCAAUUGCCUGCAACCAUGUAAUGUGGAGUGGAUAGGUUAUUCCUAAUUGUCUCCAGCAACAUCUCACAGUUGCAUCUAAAAAUAUUUGAUUAACUGAUUCCUCUAUGUGUAGGAAAGUUCAUAGUCA